UACGUAGGUGGCAAGCGUUGUCCGGAAUUAUUGGGCGUAAAGCGCGCGCAGGCGGCCUCUUAAGUCUGAUGUGAAAGCCCCCGGCUCAACCGGGGAGGGCCAUUGGAAACUGGGAGGCUUGAGUAUAGGAGAGAAGAGUGGAAUUCCACGUGUAGCGGUGAAAUGCGUAGAGAUGUGGAGGAACACCAGUGGCGAAGGCGACUCUUUGGCCUAUAACUGACGCUGAGGUCGCGAAAGCGUGGGAGCAAACAGG
rnacentral:rRNA from 1 species